UCGUGGAUCAGCAUGCCACGGUGAAUACGUUCCCGGGCCUUGUACACACCGCCCGUCACACCAUGAGAGCCGGGAACACCCGAAGUCCGUAGUCUAACCUAUAUGGAGGACGCGGCCGAAGGUGGGUUUGGUAAUUGGGGUGAAGUCGUAACAAGGUACC
rnacentral:rRNA from 1 species